AUCUUCGCUCUGUUGGCCGUGGCUUUAGUAAGCACACACCUGCCUGCUACUCUGGUUAUCGUGGCGACGGCAGGUCUGGAUUGCCAGACAGGUUUUUCUUUUUACCUCGAGGCUUUCUCUGAAGGGAGUCGGAGCAUUUAAAAGGCGGCCUCAAGGUGGAUUGAGUCGGGGGAGGAUUAGCAGUAUUUGCUUAGGUUGUAAAACCGCGACUUUAUCUAAUAAAUCGCCAUUCAAGGUGCAAAUACAAACUUGGAACAGAGAUAAUCUGCCUCUGAAACCUUCCGUGGGCACAGAAAUUUCUGCAAGGAAAGCAUCAGCAACCAGAAUAAUUUGAUUGCAUUUGGGUUUAAACAGAGGACUUAAUCAUAGCAUGGACAGAAAAGGCUCACCAUCUAUCUAAAUGACUCUGAUUGCACCAUCAUCCUCAUUGUUCUUGUGGAGUCUCGCUCUGUCGCCCAGGCUGGGGUGGAGUGACGCGAUCUCGGCUCACCGCAAGCUCCGCCUCCCGGGUUCACGCCAUUCUCCUGUCUCAGCCUCCCCAGUAGCUGGGACUACAGGCGUCCACCACCACGCCCGGCUAAUUUUUUGUACUUUUAGUAGAGACGGGUUUCACCGUGUCAGCCAGGAUGGUCUCGAUCUCCUGACCUCGUGAUCUGCCCGCCUCAGCCUCCCUAUAUGUUUUAAAAUAUAAAUUUAUUCUUAUAAAAAUAAAUUUAAACUAGAUUGAGGUAGUAAUUACAACAGUCCAGCACAUUAUGGAUAAUUAAUAUUUAUAUUUAUUUGGCUGGUUUUUCUUUUAUAGUAAACUUUAUGCCUUAAUGAA
rnacentral:lncRNA from 1 species